UCAGGAUGAACGCUGGCGGCGUGCCUAACACAUGCAAGUCGAGCGGAGAUAAGUGAAGCCUAGCGAUUCUUAUCUUAGCGGCGGAUGGGUGAGUAACACGUGGGUAACCCUGCCCUGCACUGGGGAAUAACAGCUGGAAACGGCUGUUAAUGCCGCAUAUGCGCACGGAGCCGCAUGGCUUUGGGCGGAAAGAUUUAUCGGUGCAGGAUGGGCCCGCGCCGGAUUAACUAGUUGGCGGGGUAACGGCCCACCAAGGUGAUGAUCCGUAGCCGACCUGAGAGGGUGACCGGCCACAUUGGGACUGAGACACGGCCCAAACUCCUACGGGAGGCAGCAGUGGGGGAUAUUGCACAAUGGGGGAAACCCUGAUGCAGCGACGCCGCGUGAAGGAUGAAGUAUUUCGGUAUGUAAACUUCUAUCAGCGGGGAAGAAGAUGACGGUACCCGACUAAGAAGCCCCGGCUAACUACGUGCCAGCCGCCGC
rnacentral:rRNA from 1 species